rnacentral:rRNA from 1 species
GACGAACGCUGGCGGCGUGCUUAACACAUGCAAGUCGAACGGAAAGGCCCUGCUUUUGUGGGGUGCUCGAGUGGCGAACGGGUGAGUAACACGUGAGUAACCUGCCCUUGACUUUGGGAUAACUUCAGGAAACUGGGGCUAAUACCGGAUAGGAGCUCCUGCUGCAUGGUGGGGGUUGGAAAGGUUCGGCGGUUGGGGAUGGACUCGCGGCUUAUCAGCUUGUUGGUGGGGUAGUGGCUUACCAAGGCUUUGACGGGUAGCCGGCCUGAGAGGGUGACCGGCCACAUUGGGGCUGAGAUACGGCCCAGCCUCCUACGGGAGGCAGCAGUGGGGAAUAUAGCACAAUGGGAGGAAGCCUGAUGCAGCAACGCCGCGUGCGGGAUGACGGCCUUCGGGUUGUAAACCGCUUUCGCCUGUGACGAAGCGUGAGUGACGGUAAUGGGUAAAGAAGCACCGGCUAACUACGUG